rnacentral:tRNA from 1 species
AGCGGUGUAUUAUAAUGGCUAGGAAACUGGGCUUGUAACUCAAAGGUUGUGGGUUCAAUUCCCAGCUGUGGUG